ensembl:snRNA LOC120096746 U6 spliceosomal RNA
GUGCUCUCUUCAGCAGCACAUAUACUAAAAUUGGAAUGAUACAGAUAAGAUAAACAUGGCCCCUCUGCAAGGAUGACAUGCAAAUUCGUGAAGCAUUCCAUAUUUUU